UCAGGUCAAUACAGAACCUCCAAGUUCCCACUCUAUGCAUGUUCCAUCACGCCAUUCCUAGUGCUCCGUGCUAGAGUGGGUACCAAAGAAUAGAUGUCAGAUGCUAUGGGCCUUUUUACUAAGUGCUCACGUAUGACAAAGCAAUCAACAAAACAUGGAGUGCAAUCAUUAGUCAAUGUUCACAUCACAGAUGGUAGAGAUACAGCUAUACUUACUCUAUGGGGUGCGCACGCAGAGAAGUUUGAUGCAGAGGUCCUCAUAGAAAUGAGCAAAAAUAAUCCUGUCG